rnacentral:lncRNA from 1 species
GGGCUGAGGAAGGGAAUAAGUGAAAUGCCUUUAUUACAUUUCUACUGGGCGCUAUGUAGGGUCUCCUAAUUAAGGCAACUCUCUGGAUAAAUAACAUUUCUCCUCAGCAGUAGUCUUCUAAGAUAUUUGCUCAUCGACGUGAAAGAUUUUUAUAAAACAAUCCUAACACAUUUCGCUGACAAAAUUUUUCAUCAUGAUGAGUUGAAAAAGAUUUCAUCUGGAUCUCGUUAUUGGGCCAUGAGAAAUAGCAGCCCGACCCUCACUCUGGUCUGGGAACAAAAUUUGGCAAGCCAGCCAGGAGAGACUGGGAUGGUGCUGUGUUCAGCGGCUAGCAGCUUGCAAUGAGACAGUCUUCAGGAGGAUCCCAGCAGCUGCUGAUGAGAUUUCCCAAGGACCCUCUUGAAGGCUGUUUCAUGCAGAAAAUUGCACAUCUCUUUCACUACUGGGGAAGAAUGGAGAUCAGGAGUGGAUGCACUCAAAGGGUCACAAUUGAAAAAACUGAUCAUUUUACCAAGGCUUUGACUGGAAUGGUGUGCUUUCCUUUAAGAAAUCAAACUUGACUUAUGGAGCCAACGGAACCCCAAGUUGUCUUGGAACCUCAAGAGGAGAGAAAUUCACCCAACACAUAGGUGCUGCCUCUAAGCCCUGAAGCAGAGAGUGCUACCAAGAACAAAUCGACCUCUUCCACUCCAGUGCUGUGUUUGGUGCCCCAUAACGACGACCCUCUCUCAGCAGGAAGUAGCCAGAAAGGAGCAAAACAAAAUUUCUCCUGGGCCGCACAGUUUGGCAAUUAUCUUUUGUUGCCUUGGCUGCAGCUACUAUGCCAUCAGCUCCCAACUCCUAACUUCAAUGAACCAAGGAGGUAUUUUUCUUAAACAAAGACCACUCCAACCCUGAAGAUUGGAAUUUCGCCACUGCCUGUAAGGAUAACAAGCUUUA